AGCAGCCGCGGUAAUUCCAGCUCCAAUAGCGUAUAUUAAAGUUGUUGCAGUUAAAAAGCUCGUAGUUGAAUUUCGGGGUCAGUAGGCUGGUCGUGCCACAGGUACGUACUGGUUUCACUGAUUCCUCCUUCCUGAAGAACCGUAAUGCCAUUAAUUUGGUGUUGCGGGGAAACAGGACUGUUACUUUGAAAAAUUAGAGUGUUUAAAGCAGGCUAACGCUUGAAUACAUUAGCAUGGAAUAAUGAAAUAGGACGAGCGAUCCUAUUUUGUUGGUUUCUAGGAUUGACGUAAUGAUUAAUAGGGAUAGUUGGGGGCAUUAGUAUUCAAUUGUCAGAGGUGAAAUUCUUGGAUUUAUUGAAGACUAACUACUGCGAAAGCAUUUGCCAAGGAUGUUUUCAUUAAUCAAGAACGAAAGUUAGGGGAUCGAAGACGAUCAGAUACCGUCGUAGUCUUAACCAUAAACUAUGCCGACUAGGGAUCGGAUGAUGUUAAUUUUAUAAUGACUCAUUCGGCGCCUUAA
rnacentral:rRNA from 1 species